CCUACGGGAGGCAGCAGUGGGGGAUAUUGCACAAUGGGGGAAACCCUGAUGCAGCGACGCCGCGUGGACGAAGAAGUAUUUCGGUAUGUAAAGUUCUAUCAGCAGGGAAGAAGAAAUGACGGUACCUGACUAAGAAGCCCCGGCUAACUACGUGCCAGCAGCCGCGGCAAUACGUAGGGGGCAAGCGUUAUCCGGAUUUACUGGGUGUAAAGGGAGCGCAGGCGGCAGCGCAAGUCUGAUGUGAAAUCCCGGGGCCCAACCGCGGGACUGCAUUGGAAACUGCGCAGCUGGAGUGCAGGAGGGGUAAGCGGAAUGCCUGGUGUAGCGGUGAAAUGCGUAGAUAUUAGGAGGAACACCAGUGGCGAAGGCGGCUUACUGGACGGCAACUGACGCUGAGGCUCGAAAGCGUGGGGAGCAAACAGGAUUAGAUACCCGGGUAGUC
rnacentral:rRNA from 1 species